rnacentral:rRNA from 1 species
UACGAAGGGGGCUAGCGUUGCUCGGAAUGACUGGGCGUAAAGGGCGCGUAGGCGGUUCGUACAGUCAGACGUGAAAUUCCUGGGCUCAACCUGGGGGCUGCGUUUGAUACGUGCGGACUUGAGUGCGGAAGAGGGUCGUGGAAUUCCCAGUGUAGAGGUGAAAUUCGUAGAUAUUGGGAAGAACACCAGUGGCGAAGGCGGCUAACUGGUCCAGCACUGACGCUGAGGUGCGAAAGCGUGGGGAGCAAACAGG